UACGAAGGGGGCUAGCGUUGCUCGGAAUUACUGGGCGUAAAGGGCGCGUAGGCGGCACUGUUAGUCAGGCGUGAAAGUCCUGGGCUCAACCUGGGAACUGCGCUUGAUACGGCAGAGCUAGAGGAUGGAAGAGGGUCGCGGAAUUCCCAGUGUAGAGGUGAAAUUCGUAGAUAUCGGGAGGAACACCAGUGGCGAAGGCGACUACCUGGCCUGUUCUUGACGCUGAGGCGCGAAAGCUAGGGGAGCAAACGGG
rnacentral:rRNA from 1 species